UACGUAGGGUGCGAGCGUUGUCCGGAAUUAUUGGGCGUAAAGAGCUUGUAGGCGGUUUGUCGCGUCUGCUGUGAAAUCUCAAGGCUCAACCUUGAGCUUGCAGUGGGUACGGGCAGACUAGAGUGUGGUAGGGGAGACUGGAAUUCCUGGUGUAGCGGUGAAAUGCGUAGAGAUCGGGAGGAACACCAGAGGCGAAAGCGGCGACCUGGACAGGUACUGACACUCAACUACGAAAGCGUGGGGAGCAAACAGG
rnacentral:rRNA from 1 species